AUGUGCUCUAUUUGCCGACAGAGCACUACAAGUGGUAGCAAAAUCAUCAUCACAAGCCGAUCUGACAAGAUCACAAAGCUUGGAACAACACACACUUUAGUGCUGAAGCAUCUGUCUCAUGAGGCAUUCUGGUAUUUUUUCAAAGUGGUUACGUUUGGAAGCACGGAUCCCAAGAUGCACCCGAGGCUUGUCUGUUUGGCAAUGGAGAUAGCAGAAUCUCUGAAUGAUAAUCUUGUUGAUGCAAACAUGACCGCAAGUGUAUUGAGAGCUAAUUUUAACAUCAAUUUCUGGUGCAAGGUUCUGGCAUUCCGAAGAGGGUACAUACAAAAUCAGCUCUGUAAGUUUGGUGAGCAUCCGCAUGAACUUCCGAGUGAGAAUAGACCUGUGUAUUUUCAACCAAUGGGCACAACUACUGAAGAUAUUCUUGUUCUUGGUACUAAUCAGACAUGCUCUUCCGAAGAGGAAGUUCCCAAGAUAAUGGCCAUAGAUGUUCUGUACGGAACCGCUAGGCCUCAAGGGGGAACAUUUAAGGUCCUUGCAUGGAAAUCUCUGAUACCACCCUACCAUUGCUACAUCCAAACUUAUGAGAUUCGAGAGCUGCAAGCUAGAGCGGUGAAGAGGAAGCGCCCUCUGAUGAAUGGUAUUAGACGUGUUUAG
rnacentral:rRNA from 1 species